UCUCGCGCGAGGACUUCACCGCGAGGAGCGAGGCGGCGGAGAACGCGAAGAAGGCCAGAUUGC
rnacentral:ribozyme from 1 species